GAAAGAUUCCAAGGGGAAUAAGGGAUGACUGUGGCUGACAAAGGAAGUCAAGGACAGUAUAAAAAUAAAAGAGAAGUAGUACAACAAAGCAAAGAUGAGACGGGAAGUCAGAGGAUUGGGGAAAAAAAACAUAGAAACAUAGAAAAUAGGUGCAGGAG